AUUGAGCGCUGGCGGCAUGCCUUACACAUGCAAGUCGAACGGUAACGGGCCUUCGGGUGCCGACGAGUGGCGAACGGGUGAGUAAUACAUCGGAACGUGCCCGAUCGUGGGGGAUAACGAGGCGAAAGCUUUGCUAAUACCGCAUACGAUCUACGGAUGAAAGCAGGGGACCGCAAGGCCUUGCGCGGACGGAGCGGCCGAUGGCAGAUUAGGUAGUUGGUGGGAUAAAAGCUUACCAAGCCGACGAUCUGUAGCUGGUCUGAGAGGAUGAUCAGCCACACUGGGACUGAGACACGGCCCAGACUCCUACGGGAGGCAGCAGUGGGGAAUUUUGGACAAUGGGCGCAAGCCUGAUCCAGCCAUGCCGCGUGCAGGAUGAAGGCCUUCGGGUUGUAAACUGCUUUUGUACGGAACGAAAAGCCUUCUUUUAAUACAGGAGGGUCAUGACGGUACCGUAAGAAUGAGCACCGGCUAACUACGUG
rnacentral:rRNA from 1 species